UACAGAGGGUGCGAGCGUUAAUCGGAAUUACUGGGCGUAAAGCGUGCGUAGACGGUUAUCUAAGUCGGAUGUGAAAGCCCCGGGCUCAACCUGGGAAUUGCAUUCGAGACUGAAUAGCUAGGGUACGGUAGAGGGAAGUGGAAUUUCCGGUGUAGCGGUGAAAUGCGUAGAUAUCGGAAGGAACAUCAGUGGCGAAAGCGACUUCCUGGACCAAUACCGACGUUCAGGCACGAAAGCGUGGGGAGCAAACAGG
rnacentral:rRNA from 1 species